rnacentral:rRNA from 1 species
GACGAACGCUGGUGGCGUGCUUAACACAUGCAAGUCGAACGGGAUUUAGUAAACAGAAGCCUCGGUGGAAGAUUACUAAUGAGAGUGGCGAACGGGUGAGUAACUCGUGAGCAACCUGCCUAUGACAGUGGGAUAGCCUCGGGAAACCGGGAUUAAUACCGCAUAAAAUCGUAGAAACACAUGUUUUAACGGUCAAAGAUUUAUCGGUCAUAGAUGGGCUCGCGUCUGAUUAGCUAGUUGGUGAGAUAACAGCCCACCAAGGCGACGAUCAGUAGCCGGUCUGAGAGGAUGAACGGCCACAUUGGAACUGAGACACGGUCCAAACUCCUACGGGAGGCAGCAGUGGGGAAUAUUGCACAAUGGGGGAAACCCUGAUGCAGCGACGCCGCGUGAACGAAGAAGGUAUUCGUAUCGUAAAGUUCUGUCCUAUGGGAAGAUAAUGACAGUACCAUAGAAGAAAGCUCCGGCUAAAUACGUG